rnacentral:rRNA from 1 species
GACAGAGGGUGCAAACGUUGUUCGGAAUUACUGGGCAUAAAGAGCACGUAGGUGGUCUGCUAAGUCGUGUGUGAAAUCCCCCGGCUCAACCGGGGAAUUGCGCUCGAUACUGGCAGGCUCGAGGUGGGUAGGGGUGAGCGGAACUCCAGGUGGAGCGGUGAAAUGCGUAGAUAUCUGGAGGAACACCGGUGGCGAAAGCGGCUCACUGGACCCAAUCUGACACUGAGGUGCGAAAGCUAGGGUAGCAAAC